CACGUAGGGGCCAAGCGUUGUCCGGAUUUAUUGGGCGUAAAGAGCUCGUAGGCGGUUCGACAAGUCGGGUGUGAAAACUCCGGGCUCAACCCGGAGACGCCACCCGAUACUGUCGUGACUGGAGUCCGGUAGGGGAGUGGGGAAUUCCUGGUGUAGCGGUGAAAUGCGCAGAUAUCAGGAGGAACACCGGUGGCGAAGGCGCCACUCUGGGCCGGUACUGACGCUGAGGAGCGAAAGCCAGGGGAGCGAAUGGG
rnacentral:rRNA from 1 species